GUACACGCUGUGACUAGCAUAUCAAUAAGCGGAGGAAAAGAAACUAACAAGGAUUCCCCUAGUAACGGCGAGUGAAGCGGGAAGAGCUCAAAUUUGAAAUCUUAAAGGGUUUCCCUUUACGAAUUGUAGUUUAAAGAAGUGUUUUCUGUUGAGGUUUUGGUAAAAGUUCUUUGGAAUAGGACAUCAUAGAGGGUGAGAAUCCCGUAUUUGACCUUUACUUUCAACUUUGUGAUACACUUUCAAAGAGUCGGAUUGUUUGGGAAUGCAGUCCAAAAUGGGUGGUAAAUUUCAUCUAAAGCUAAAUAUUGGCGAGAGACCGAUAGCGAACAAGUACCGUGAGGGAAAGAUGAAAAGAACUUUGAAAAGAGAGUUAAACAGUACGUGAAAUUGUCAAAAGGGAAGCGUUUGACACCAGUGUUGUUUUUCUGAAAAUCAAUUAAAGAACUGUUUAUGCUAAGUUGUUUAGACUUUAUCAGCUAACUGUUUAGUUUUGAGCUUUUCUUUAAUGCACUUUUCAGUUAACAAGUCAACAUCAAUUUCUUUUGCUGUAAAAAAGCUUGAGGAAGGUGGCUUGAGAUUCGUCUUAAGUGUUUAUAGCCUCUUGCCUAUGCAGUCGGAGAGAUUGAGGUCUGCAGCGUAGAUCCUUCGGGGCUAAAUGCAUUUGUGCUAAGUUAUAGCAUUUUAUAGACAACUUGUUGACUAUGAUUUGUCUUGUAGCUUACUCGCUUAUGUUAUUUUACCUACGCUUAGGAUGUUGACAGCAGUAUAGACUGU
rnacentral:rRNA from 1 species